GACGUAGGAUGCGAGCGUUGUCCGGAUUUAUUGGGCGUAAAGAGCUCGUAGGCGGUUUGUCGCGUUCUGCUGUGAAAACCUAAGGCUCAACCUUGGGCUUGCAGUGGGUACGGGCAGACUAGAGUGCGGUAGGGGUGACUGGAAUUCCUGGUGUAGCGGUGGAAUGCGCAGAUAUCAGGAGGAACACCGGUGGCGAAGGCGGGUCUCUGGGCGAGUAACUGACGCUG
rnacentral:rRNA from 1 species